UCAAAUUAAGGAGCUCAUCCCUGGUUCGCCGACCUGCGCCUCCACCUAGACUUCUUCCUGUUGAUGGUCGCCGCCGCCCACCACCACAAGCCUAAAACUGCGAUUGCAUUCCAACGGGUGAAGCUGGAUGAUGUUAAGCUUGCUCAUGAAAGACUUGCAGGAUAAAAUCAUAUUGGACCAAGGGUGGUGCGGACUCUGCCAAGGCAACAUGAUGAGAUUCUUGGCCAAGUUAGAGCAAGGCUUUACACACGACAAGACCAAUAAGAAGCAUGGUGGUGGUGCUGCUGUCAUCCGAAUCUGCUGCUGCCGGUGUCCACUAAGAGGCCUCCUGCCCCUGCCUUCUUCUACCGGGACCUCUCUUAUGUUUCACCCUUCGCCGUGUCCUCCUACACGACGCUGCUCCAACGAUACAAGCAAUCUUCGAGGUUCACAUAAAGGAGCUCAUCGCUGGUUCGCCAACCUGCGCCUCCACCUCAACUAUUACGUCGCUGGCACAUGGCCUCCUCCACUUCUUCCUGAUGAUGGUUGCC